GUGGUGUCUGGUAUUUCGUGUUGAAAGAUACGAAGUCAGUGAGGCCAGCACGUCAUGGUAGGUUACUAGCGGACUCAUACUCCGUUGGGUUGUAGCUCAUUUGGGUAGAGCACUCGUUUUUGGAACGAAUGGUAGCCGGUUCAAAUCCGGUCAACUCAUCCUUGAAAGAUGAAAAAACGCAAAGACUGGCCUCACAGGUAGUACGAAAAUGGCUUAAUGCUUCAGUCCUUCGGGCAAUGAAGCCCUUCGAAGCUCGCAAGGCGGACAAGGUUAGUAGCGAAGCGCACUAUAGCGACGGCCAUCGUUGUAGGUAGCAGAACUACUGAGUACGCUACUUGAUACGUGAAUCGCCACACGUUAAAAAAGGCAGUCAUGCUGGCAGACUCAGGAGCAUCCUUGAUGGAUGGCUUGGGUGGAUAAGCUGGGAACCAAAGGGGUCGCACCCUACGGAUAAUCCAGCAAAGGUGUUAGCGGUGAAGGUGUAAUCUCAGCCU
rnacentral:sRNA from 1 species